CUUGAGCUCAUCAAAGCAAUGGCAGAAGUGAAGCUACACGGAUUCUGGGCCAGUCCUUUUAGUCAUAGAGUGAUUUGGGCAUUGAAAAUCAAAGGUGUAGAAUAUGAAUACAUAGAGGAAGACCUUUCUAACAAGAGUGAACUGCUGUUGAAGUACAAUCCUGUUUACAAGAAGAUCCCUGUCCUUGUCCAUGGCGGCAAGCCGAUUGCUGAGUCCCUCGUCAUCCUUGAAUACAUCGAAGAAACCUGGCCGGAGAAUCCAUUGCUCCCAAGUGAUCCUUAUGAGAGAGCCAUGGCUCGAUUUUGGAUUCAAUUCGGAGUAGACAAGGUGAUUUUCAUUCUUUCACUAUCUCCAUUGAGGCGUUGACCUAUCAUUCUUUUCUUUAAUGUUCUUGUUAACAAUUAUCAAACUUUACAAUGAUCGUAGGGUCCGGUUUUCCGUGCAUUUUUUCUAUCAACCGGUGGAGAGGAGCAAGAGAAAGCAGCAAAGGAAUUCUCGGAAAUGCUGAAAAUUAUAGAAGAGAAAGCUCUUGGGGACAAGAAGUUUUUUGGUGGUGAUACCAUUAAUUUAGUGGACAUCUCCUAUGCAACGCUGGCCUAUUGGUUCAAGAAUGUGGAAGAAGUAAUUGGCGUUAAGGUUCUGGAACCAAACACCUUACCCCGUCUGUAUCAAUGGGCUCAAAAUUUCAAGGAAGUUCCUGUCAUCAAAGAAAACAUUCCUGAUAAUGAUAAAAUGUUGGCCUAUACAAGACUAAUCAGGGAGAAGAUUCUUGCUGCACAGCUCAACAAAUAGCAUAAAAAAGCGUCUUACUGGCUACCCUUUCUGGAAAAUUGAUUUUACUAUGCUUGGCAGCUUGUAAUGGUUAUCAUAAGCUUAUAUAUGUGUGUGUAAUCUGCUUUGUUAUGUUCUAUUGUAUUAAUUAAGAAUCAAAUAAUAGAAUUCUAGCGUAAAAAAGCAGAACAACUUUUGGUUUUGUGCUUCUAAGGGUCGGAUCUUUGUGUUUUGAUGUCUGACCUUUGUUCAGGUUUUCUUUGGCAGAAAGGGCCUGAUCUGAGAUUUUUCUGUGCUCUGUGUCAUUUGCUUUUGAGUUAGGACAGUGCUUAUUGGUUUUUUUUUUUUUAAAGGCGGUUUUAUUCUUGCAUCACUGUUUAUGCCACAACAAGUCUAAAGCAUGGUUGCGGAAGACUUUAGUGGCAUAGAGCGUCUGAUGUGGGUAAAAGUGCUGUACAAUUUCAAAAGACGCCUAUGUUCCAUAGCGCCACUGCUAAACAUAAUCCUAACCAGCAGCAGGAACGCAUACACAGGCCAUCACUAACCUCAAAUCAUUCAAAAACCACAGAACACAGAUCGGGCGAAGCAAACUUCUAGCGCGAAGAAGGUGUCCGCAAUGGGCAUCGUGGACGCAGCAAACCAGGAGCCUUCAAAGAGCCUCAACAUCAGCAUCGUCAGGAAUUCAGCACGGCAUCAGCAGCAUUUGAAGUGAUUGACAAAAAUGUGGAUCCUUAGCAUAGGCCUCCUGUCAAUCCACAACCUCAAAACAUCCCACAAACCACCCCCUGGGAGAAACACCUGAACCCACCUUCACACUCACCGUCCCCUUCCAAUUCACUCAACCUGCUUGACACAAUACACAACACCAAUCGCUCAAAAGUUCAUGACAGUGCUUUAUUGGUUUGUUUUUUGAAAGGUGAAAUUUUAUUGAGCCAGCCUCCAACCUGCCACUUCAAGUCUUUAGUCUUAAUUGCUUAAAGACUCUUGAUGGCAUAAUAGUUGCCCUGGCUGGAUAAAACCUGUACACUUGUACCAAAAAGAAUCUGCCCAAAUAGAAACUGGCAGCACAGCACCAUGAACAAGAAGAGGUGCAAGAAAGGAAAAUCGUUCUAAUUCUACCUGAUUGGAAACAGCAAUACCCCCAACCCAACGAACAAGAAAAAAACUCCCACAGCGAGGAUCCCCUCAUGUGAAGUCAACCCUGCUCGCCCCACCAGAAGUUACACAGUAAAAGAAUCCUUUAGGAAACAUGGGAGAAGACCAUUCAAAAAUCUGAGUAAGGGACAAGACCUGGCAAUUCGCAGAACAGAACAGAACAAAAACCCUAGGGGAUCUCAUCAUCAACAAAAACCCUUCCUGGCGGCAAUAACCACAGUAUCUUAGACGAGCCAGCCCAGACAGCUUCGGAUUCAUCACAGGCUCAGCGCAAGAGCUUCCGGAACACAUCCCCACUCCCCGCCAUACCAACACAUCCUUUCACAUAAGAAACACGAGCAUCCAGCCGAACAGAGAAGUCAGAAGCAGCACCAAAAAGGAUCCCAAAACACCUGAACCCCCUAUCCCUGAGAUUCCUUCAAAUAACAUAGGAGGAGCCCAAACAGGGAGCCAUGAACUCACAGAAAAAGCCACCAUAUCAAGCAAAGCCAAAAAACAAGAAACAUGACAAAAACAUUACACUCCCAGCAAAGAACUGGUUGGCAAAAACAGAAAGGAACAAAGAAUGACACACUCACAGGAAAGAAAUCAUUCAUUAGAAAGGACAUUUUUUUCUUUUCUCUUUAUUAUUGAUCACUUGUUAAGCUGCCUUGACUUUUUGAGCUGCUAAUCUAUCGCCAGUGCCACUGGUUUCCUUGUCCGAGCCGUUCUUUGCCAUGCCAUAGGGAGUUUUUAGUAGUUACAGCCUUAAAUUAACAAUAGCAUUGAUCGGCCGCUGAAACGAAUAAAUUAACCUUUCAAAGAAUAAAACUUUUGGUUUUGUGGAAGAAUUACUUGUAAAAGUUCAUGAUGAUCACCUCAUGAUUUAUUUUGGUUAUCCUAAGGUCAAGGCUUCAUGAAUUUUUAUAUCUUUGGAUUUGCUUUUUAAAAUUACUUGAUUUUGACUAUCAAGAUUUUAUAUUUCUCAUAUUGUAAAAAGUUAUUUCACAAAAAACACAUUACCAUUUGGAGAGAGCAAUGGUAGCAAAUAAAAUGAAUAAUGCAAUGGUAUCACGCAAACAAUAAUGAAAUGAAAGUAACUCAAAAUAAGUGAUAUUAUUCAUAAGUUACUUUUGUUAUUGGGAUGUUUUGCAAACUUAUUAGUGUAGAUUUGGAAAUAGUUAAAGAGAAUUUCCUCUCAACAUUUUUUUUUAAGUAUAAGUGCUUUACAAAAACAAAUGUAAUUGCACCAUUAAUUUUUUUUUUAAAAGUUGUAAUUACACCAUUAAUAAUCAUUUGUUACAAACGGUUACUAUUCUCAAUGGUUACCUAAUGAGAUUUUCGUAAUUAUUACCUAUUAUGUACAUAAAAAAUGGAAAUAGUUGAGAGGUAAUUGGAACGAAGUUUAUUAAAGCAAAUACCUUUAAUGAGGAAUUUCACUAAAAAAUCCGCAAUGAAAAACAAUGUCCCAUAUCACAACAGAGUACUCUGUAAAUUUCUUGAAGAAGAGAAGGGUCAUAUAUAAAUAUCACCUCAUCAGAAUCACUUGAAAGUAAAUUAGCUAGUAAUGCAAGUUUGUAUUACACAUUUACGUCGUGAGAAAGAACUACUUCUUCUCUCUUUAAUUUUCAUGUUGGUUUAUGCCUUUAAAUUAUUUAUCUGUUAUAGCUAUGGUUACAACAAUGCUAUGGUGGCUUGUUGUUUUAAAUUAUUCUGAAAUCAUUUUGAAAUUUUCAGCCUUCUGAAACAUUUCAAUUACAAAUGGGGCAUUCUUUAUGAUUGCAUCUUCUAUCUCACUUCCUACUUUGUAGACUAAAACUAGGGAGUGCCGGAAACGCUCCCCAUUUUUCCAAUUUCAGUUUGAGCAACGUUAUCCAAGAAAAGGGUUCUUCAAUCUUUGAAACUUGUUAUUUUAUUCAGUUUGAAAGGGGCAAACUGAUUCAUUUUUAUUUUUUAUUAAAAACAUGAUCACUUGUCAUGCGUGACGCAGGCCUAUUGUAUAUUGCAUGGAGCAAUCAUAUCCGUAACAUGGUAGUCAUUGGAUUAAGUAAUUUAUCUGAUCCAACCAUGUGACAGAUUGUAUGACUUUUACAAUAUGAAAUGCAAAAUUACCAGCUGAAAGAGUCUGAACUGAUGUCAGAAACAUUUAGAAAAGAGUAAGAGUUGCUUCCAUUGACAUUGAACUUCUUGCCCAAGCUAGAACAGCCCUUUGAUCUGUAUGAAUUGACAAUUAGAAAGUAAAAAUGAAAAUUAAAAAAAAUGGAAGUAAUUUUUAAAAUUAGAUUAAUGAUUUUUAUAUCACAGUAGAGAAUUAGUUUUAAAACAGCAAAAAUCAUAAAGAGACAAACAGGAACAUGAUGAACCUUCUUACCAGCAUGACACGGUGGCAUGCACAAUCAAAAGCGGGUUUGAUUGCCGAAUAUCAUUUGUUUAUGUCGAUAAUUAAAUAUUGAGAUUAAGGGGCAGUUCGUAUAAAAAUAAUUAAAUAAGGCAAUAGUCCAUUUGAACUUUAAAGGUAUAUUAUAAAAAGAAUAUUCUUUAUCUUCAAAGUCAAAUUAGUACUGCAUUAUCUAGUUCAUGUUUUCCUUACACUGUAAAUUAAUCAGAACCACCAACUCUUCAAAUUACGGCCUACAAUAUCACAUCAAAUUUCAACCUGACCUUGAUUUCGUCAAAUUCCUAGAUAUUUCCUCAUAGAAAACAUGUGGCCUCGGAGGUCUUCUAUUGGUAUGCAAAUGAAGGGUCACUUUCAUGGUUAUUAAUUUCUAAAUUGAAACUUAUUGUCCAAGCAUUUGAUCCAUUAUAUUGACUUUGGCCUGGCCACGACCUUUGCAUCUUGAGCUCAUCAAAGAAAUGGCAGAAGUGAAGCUACACGGAUUCUGGGCUAGUCCUUUUAGUCAUAGAGUGAUUUCGGCAUUGAAAAUCAAAGGUGUAGACUAUGAAUACAUAGAGGAAGACCUUUCUAACAAGAGCGAACUGCUGUUGAAGUACAAUCCUGUUUACAAGAAGAUCCCUGUCCUUGUCCAUGGCGGCAAGCCGAUUGCUGAGUCCCUCGUCAUCCUUGAAUACGUCGAAGAAACCUGGCCGGAGAAUCCAUUGCUCCCAAGUGAUCCUUAUGAGAGAGCCAUGGCUCGAUUUUGGAUUCAAUUCGUAGAAGACAAGGUGAUUUUGACUCUUUCAUUAUCUCCAUUGAGGCAUUGACCUAUCAUUCUUUUCUUUUAUGUUAUUGUUAACAAUUAUCAAACUUUACAAUGAUCCUAGAGUCCGGUUUUCCGUCCAUUUUUUCUAUCAACCGGUGGAGAGGAGCAAGAGAAAGCAGCAAAGGAAUUGUUGGAAAUGCUGAAAAUUAUACAAGAGAAAGCUCUUGGGGAGAAGAAGUUUUUCGGUGGUGAUACCAUUAAUUUAGUGGACAUCUCCUACGGAGUGCUGGCCUAUUGGCUCAAGAUCAUGCAAGAAAUAAUUGGCGUUAAGGUGCUGGAACCAAACACCUUGCCUCGACUGCAUGAAUGGGCUUAAAAUUUCAUGGAAGUUGCUGUCAUCAAAGAAACAAUCCCUGAUCGUGAUAAAGUGUUGGCUCAUAUGAGAGGCGUGAGGGAGAAGAUUGUUGCUGAACAGUUUAACAAAUAGCAUAAAAAGGCUUCACACUAGCUAGCCUUCUGGAAAAUUGAUUGUCCUAAACUUGGCAGCUUGGGAUGCUUAUAUAAAGCUAUAUAUAUAUAUAUAUAUGUAAUCUGCUUAGUUAUGCUAUGUUGUAUUAAUUAAGCAUCAAAUAAUUGAAUUCUAUUGUAUAAAAGCAGAACUUUUUUUGGUUUUAUGGGAGGAUUAAUUUUACAAGCCCAUGAUGAUCAGGAAAGAAAUGGGUAUUUUUGGAAUUUAAGAAAGGGAGGCCAUGAAAGCUGGGAAUUUUAAGCUGGUUCUGUUUCGUUAGAACAAAGAGAGACAGAGCGAGAGAGAAAUUUUGAGAAAAAUAAGGAGGACCAAAUUAAAGAAUUUUUUUUUUCUUCUAAAUAAUUAUGGCGGUUUUACUUGCUAUUAUGCCACGUUAGGGCACCGGUUAAGAAAAUGACAAAUGUCAUAAUGAUUAAUACUAGUUAAUUUUUUAAUUUUUUUAUUAAGUGUUUUGUAACUUAUUUGAUUUUAAAUAAUAAUAUAAAAAUUUAUUAAAAAUAAAUAAAAAUAUAAGACUUGUUUGUAUUUUUUUUUCAGUGGAGAAGUUAUAAUAUUAAAUUGGAAUCAUCAUAAGAAAACAUAUUCCCAUCAUAUCAUAUAAUAAUAAAUUUUUAACUCCCACUAGAGGAGUAUUAUGAGCAACAUAAGAAACAUCAAAUAAUUAAAUAAAAAAUUAAAAACAGAUUUGAUUUUUGACAUAAUAAUCAAAUAAGCUCAUAAAUUAUUUUAAAAAAUUAAAUAAGCCUUUAUUCUUUUAUUGUAUUCAAUCAAAACUUUGUAUUUUUAUUUUUUAUCAAAUAAGUUUUUAUAACAAAUGAUUAACUAAUUAUCAUUAGUUAAAAUACUUAUUAUCAUUCUAUAACCACAUACCAUUAACAUGGCAUUGAUGCAAAUAGUAAAAAAUAUCAUAUGAACAUGUUAUUAUAUCAAAUUAGUAUGUCACGCCAUCAUCAAUUUUAAUAUAUCAGUAUGUCACACCAUUAUCAAUUAUGAUAUGUUAACAUGAUACAUCAGCACCACGCGAUAUAAAAUAAUAAGUGACAUUUUGACUAAGUUAAUUAUUAGUCAUAAAAGUUUAUUUGACUCAAAAUAAAAAUAUAAUGACUUAUUAGGCUUCAAAUAAAAGUAUAAAAACUUAAUUGAAUGUAAUAAAAAUAUAAAAACUUAUUUGAAUUUUACUAAAUAGUUUAAGGACUUUUUUAAAUAUCAUACCUUAGAUUAUUUUUUUUAUAAUUUAAAAACUUUUUCAAAUAUUAUGAUCUUUGUCUUAAAAGUGAAAUUGAUCCUACAUUAUCUAGUUCAUGUUUUCCAUAUAUCCUCACUAUAAACUAAUUAAAUCAUGAACUCUUCAAAUUAGGGCCUAAGACAUCAUAUCAAAUUUCAAGCACAUCCUAGCUAUUUUCCCACUACAAACAUCUUGCCCAAGAUGUAUAAAUUGGUGGUAUAUAUUGUUUUGAAUUAUACGUCUAUUAUAGAACAUAUGAUAAAAUAUGUGACAGAAUACGUUGUAAAUAGUUGACUUACAAAUGAUGUGGCUGAAUGCAUGACAACUGAUGCGUUAGAUAAGUUGUCAUAAUAGAAGAUGUCAAUACACAAACAAUCAACACUGUGGUAGAAAGCAUCAACAUGGGUGGGGUGUGUGAAAUAGAGAUUUUUAAUAUUUGGGGGCUUUGAUAUCAUGUUAUGAACAAAUUUAUCAUAAAGAUGAAAAUAGUGUGUGUUAUGUGUAUAUGUGUAUAUGUAAAAUGUGUCAAUACAUGGACAAUUGGUGUUGUGAUAAAACAUAUCAAUAUGGUGGGAUGCGUGAAACAGAAAUUGUUGAUGUCCAAGGUGACUUUGAUAUGAUAUUACCAAAAGAUUUGUUAUAAAGGUGAAUAAAGUAUAGUCUAACUGUAUCAUUAUCUUUAACAGUUGAUAUUGAUUAAAAGAGAGUGAAGGAAAAAUAAAACUUUGGUGAGACCAUCCGGUCCAAAAUAUUGUGGAUUGAGAAAAUAUAGGCUAGAUUAGGCUAGUUAUUUUUUACAUGAGAAUUAGUUCUAAAACAGCAAAAAUCAUAAAGAGACAAACAGGAACAUGAUGAAACUUCUUACCAGCAUGACAGGGUGGCAUGCACAAUCAAAAGCAGGUUUGAUUACCAAAUAUCAUUUGUUUAUUUCGAUAAUUAAAUAUUGAGAUUAAGGGGCAGUUGGUAUAUAAAUAAUUAAAUAAGGCAAUAGUCCAUUUGAACUUUGUUUUAUUCAUUCCAAGAGGCAGGAUAUCGAAAUUUUCAUGCAAAGGUAUAUUAUAAAACAAUAUUCUUUAUCUUGAAAGUCAUAUUAGUACUGCAUUUUCUAGUUCAUGUUUUCCUUACACUGUAAAUUAAUCAGAAUCAUCAACUCUUCAAAUUAGGGCCUACAAUAUUACAUCAAAUUUAAACCUGACCUUGAUUUCGUCAAAUUCCCAGAUAUUUCCUCAUAGAAAACAUGUGGCCUAGGAGGUAUUCUAUUGGUAUACAAAUGAAGGGUCACUUUUAUGGUUAUUAAUUUCUAAAUUGAAACUUAUUGUCCAAGGAUUUGAUCCAUUAUAUUGACUUUGGCCUGGCAACAACCUUUGCAUCUUGAGCUCAUCAAAGAAAUGGCAGAAGUGAAGCUACAUGGAUCCUGGGCUAGUCCUUUUAGCCAUAGAGUGAUUUGGGCAUUGAAAAUCAAAGGUGUAAACUAUGAAUACAUAGAGGAAGACCUUUCUAACAAGAGCGAACUGCUGUUGAAAUACAAUCCUGUUUACAAGAAGAUCCCUGUCCUUGUCCACGGCGGCAAGCCGAUUGCUGAGUCCCUCGUCAUCCUUGAAUACAUCGAAGAAACCUGGCCGGAGAAUCCAUUUCUCCCAAGUGAUCCUUAUGAGAGAGCAAUGGCUCGAUUUU
rnacentral:lncRNA from 1 species